rnacentral:rRNA from 1 species
CCUACGGGAGGCAGCAGUAAGGAAUAUUGGUCAAUGGAGGCAACUCUGAACCAGCCAUGCCGCGUGCAGGAUGACGGCCCUAUGGGUUGUAAACUGCUUUUAUACAAGAGAAAACCCUGGUACGUGUACCAGGUUGAUAGUAUUGUAAGAAUAAGCAUCGGCUAACUUCGUGCCAGCAGCCGCGGUAAGACGAAGGAUGCAAGCGUUAUCCGGAUUCAUUGGGUUUAAAGGGUGCGUAGGCGGACUGAUAAGUCAGUGGUGAAAUCUCUUUGCUUAACAAAGAAACUGCCAUUGAUACUGUCGGUCUAGAGUAUAGAUGACGUUGGCGGAAUAUGACAUGUAGUGGUGAAAUACUUAGAUAUGUCAUAGAACACCGAUUGCGAAGGCAGCUAACGAAACUAUAACUGACGCUGAGGCACGAAAGUGCGGGGAUCAAACAGGAUUAGAUACCCUGGUAGUCCGCACCGUAAACGAUGAUUACUCGUUGUUGGCGAUAUGACAGUCAGCGACCAAGCGAAAGCGAUAAGUAAUCCACCUUGGGGAGUACGCCGGNAACGGUUGAACCUUAAGGAAUUGACGGNGNGAGAGNGCGAGCGACGACGAGGAGGAGG